UCUGGGACAAGCCCUGGAAACGGGGUCUAAUACCGGAUACCACUCCUGCCUGCAUGGGCGGGAGUUGAAAGCUCCGGCGGUGAAGGAUGAGCCCGCGGCCUAUCAGCUUGUUGGUGGGGUAAUGGCCCACCAAGGCGACGACGGGUAGCCGGCCUGAGAGGGCGACCGGCCACACUGGGACUGAGACACGGCCCAGACUCCUACGGGAGGCAGCAGUGGGGAAUAUUGCACAAUGGGCGAAAGCCUGAUGCAGCGACGCCGCGUGAGGGAUGACGGCCUUCGGGUUGUAAACCUCUUUCAGCAGGGAAGAAGCGAAAGUGACGGUACCUGCAGAAGAAGCGCCGGCUAACUACGUGCCAGCAGCCGCGGUAAUACGUAGGGCGCAAGCGUUGUCCGGAAUUAUUGGGCGUAAAGAGCUCGUAGGCGGCUUGUCACGUCGGAUGUGAAAGCCCGAGGCUUAACCUCGGGUCUGCAUUCGAUACGGGCUAGCUAGAGUGUGGUAGGGGAGAUCGGAAUUCCUGGUGUAGCGGUGAAAUGCGCAGAUAUCAGGAGGAACACCGGUGGCGAAGGCGGAUCUCUGGGCCAUUACUGACGCUGAGGAGCGAAAGCGUGGGGAGCGAACAGGAUUAGAUACCCUGGUAGUCCACGCCGUAAACGUUGGGAACUAGGUGUUGGCGACAUUCCACGUCGUCGGUGCCGCAGCUAACGCAUUAAGUUCCCCGCCUGG
rnacentral:rRNA from 1 species